rnacentral:rRNA from 1 species
UACGUAGGGUGCAAGCGUUAAUCGGAAUUACUGGGCGUAAAGCGUGCGCAGGCGGUUUUGUAAGUUUGUCGUGAAAGCCCCGGGCUCAACCUGGGAAUUGCGAUGAAGACUGCAAGGCUUGAAUCUGGCAGAGGGGGGUAGAAUUCCACGUGUAGCAGUGAAAUGCGUAGAUAUCAGGAGGAACACCGGUGGCGAAAGCGCUCGUCUGGCCCAAUACUGACGCUGAUGCGCGAAAGCUAGGGGAGCAAACGGG